rnacentral:rRNA from 1 species
UACGUAGGGUGCGAGCGUUAAUCGGAAUUACUGGGCGUAAAGCGUGCGCAGGCGGUUUUGUAAGCCAGAUGCGAAAUCCCCGGGCUCAACCUGGGAACUGCAUUUGUGACUGUAGAGCUGGAGUACGGCAGAGGGGGAUGGAAUUCCGCGUGUAGCAGUGAAAUGCGUAGAUAUGCGGAGGAACACCGAUGGCGAAGGCAAUCCCCUGGGCCUGUACUGACGCUCAUGCACGAAAGCGUGGGGAGCAAACAGG